rnacentral:rRNA from 1 species
GGGUGUGCUAGUGCUAUACAUGCAAGUCGAGCGAACAGAUGAGAAGCUUGCUUCUCUGAUGUUAGCGGCGGACGGGUGAGUAACACGUGGGUAACCUACCUAUAAGACUGGGAUAACUCCGGGAAACCGGGGCUAAUACCGGAUAAUAUUUUGAACCGCAUGGUUCAAUAGUGAAAGACGGUUUCGGCUGUCACUUAUAGAUGGACCCGCGCCGUAUUAGCUAGUUGGUAAGGUAAUGGCUUACCAAGGCGACGAUACGUAGCCGACCUGAGAGGGUGAUCGGCCACACUGGAACUGAGACACGGUCCAGACUCCUACGGGAGGCAGCAGUAGGGAAUCUUCCGCAAUGGGCGAAAGCCUGACGGAGCAACGCCGCGUGGAGUGAUGAAGGUUCUUCGGAUCGUAAAACUUCUGUUGUUAGGGAAGAACAAAUUUGUUAGUAACUGAACAAGUCUUGACGGUACCUAACCCAGAAAGCCACGGCUAACUACGUGCCAGCAGCCGCGGUAAUACGUAGGUGGCAAGCGUUAUCCGGAAUUAUUGGGCGUAAAGCGCGCGUAGGCGGUUUCUUAAGUCUGAUGUGAAAGCCCACGGCUCAACCGUGGAGGGUCAUUGGAAACUGGGAAACUUGAGUGCAGAAGAGGAGAGUGGAAUUCCAUGUGUAGCGGUGAAAUGCGCAGAGAUAUGGAGGAACACCAGUGGCGAAGGCGGCUCUCUGGUCUGUAACUGACGCUGAUGUGCGAAAGCGUGGGGAUCAAACAGGAUUAGAUACCCUGGUAGUCCACGCCGUAAACGAUGAGUGCUAAGUGUUAGGGGGUUUCCGCCCCUUAGUGCUGCAGCUAACGCAUUAAGCACUCCGCCUGGGGAGUACGACCGCAAGGUUGAAACUCAAAGGAAUUGACGGGGACCCGCACAAGCGGUGGAGCAUGUGGUUUAAUUCGAAGCAACGCGAAGAACCUUACCAAAUCUUGACAUCCUUUGACCGCUCUAGAGAUAGAGUCUUCCCCUUUCGGGGGACAAAGUGACAGGUGGUGCAUGGUUGUCGUCAGCUCGUGUCGUGAGAUGUUGGGUUAAGUCCCGCAACGAGCGCAACCCUUAAGCUUAGUUGCCAUCAUUAAGUUGGGCACUCUAGGUUGACUGCCGGUGACAAACCGGAGGAAGGUGGGGGAUGACGUCAAAUCAUCAUGCCCCUUAUGAUUUGGGCUACACACGUGCUACAAUGGAUAAUACAAAGGGCAGCGAAUCCGCGAGGCCAAGCAAAUCCCAUAAAAUUAUUCUCAGUUCGGAUUGUAGUCUGCAACUCGACUACAUGAAGCUGGAAUCGCUAGUAAUCGUAGAUCAGCAUGCUACGGUGAAUACGUUCCCGGGUCUUGUACACACCGCCCGUCACACCACGAGAGUUUGUAACACCCGAAGCCGGUGGAGUAACCUUUUAGGAGCUAGCCGUCGAGUAGUGAUCUACGACUGU